ACGCGCGUUUUAGGGUCAAUCGGACGUUUUAACGUAUUGCACUACUCAGUGCUAUCGUGUUUUUAGUCUUGCGAGGAUUUGAGUGAAAGCGCUCAGCUUUUUGAAUUUUUCGUGGACAGGCCGGGGUAAGCAGAAAAUCCAUCCACCAUGGACGCGAUUAAGAAGAAGAUGCAGGCGAUGAAGCUGGAGAAGGAUAAUGCCGCCGACAAAGCCGAUACCUGCGAGAACCAGGCCAAGGAGGCCAACAUGCGCGCCGACAAGAUCAUGGAGGAGGUCGCUGACCUGACCAAGCGUCUGGCCCAGGUCACCGAGGACCACGAGAAGUUCAAGAACUCGCUCGAGCAGGCCAACAAGGACCUCGAGGAGAAGGAGAAGAACCUGACCCAGACGGAGGCCAACGUUGCCUCGCUGACCCGCAAGGUCCAGCAGGUUGAGGAGGAUCUGGAAAAGUCGGAGGAGCGCUCGGGCGCCGCCCUGUCCAAGCUGCUGGAGGCCACCCAGUCCGCUGAUGAGAACAACCGUAUGUGCAAGGUGUUGGAGAACCGUUCCCAGCAGGAUGAGGAGCGCAUGGACCAGCUGAGCAACCAGCUCAAGGAAGCCCGUAUGCUCGCUGAGGACGCCGAUACCAAGUCUGAUGAAGUGUCCCGCAAGCUGGCCUUCGUUGAAGACGAGCUGGAAGCCGCUGAGGACCGUGUCAAGUCCGGUGAGGCCAAGAUCAUGGAGCUGGAGGAGGAGUUGAAGGUCGUCGGUAACUCGCUCAAGUCCCUGGAGGUCUCGGAAGAUAAGGCCAACCAGAGAGUGGAGGAGUUCAAGCGCCAGCUCAAGUCCCUCACCAUCAAGCUGAAGGAGGCCGAGACCCGCGCCGAGAACGCCGAGAAGAACGUCAAGAAGCUCCAGAAGGAAGUCGACAGACUAGAAGACAAACUGAUGAGCGAGAAGGACAAGUACAAAGCCAUCUGCGACGACCUGGAUUCCACCUUCGCCGAACUUACCGGAUACUAAUCGCUCAAGACGGCUACUACCGCUAUCAUUACUAUUGUUGCUACUACUUCUACUACUACUACUACUACUACCAACCACCACCACCACAACCGCCACCAAAACCAGCUUGCCUUAGACCAAAGAUCUGCUCAAAUCCAAAAGGAAGAAGAAGAAGACCCGCGCCGGAGUUCCGGUUCGUUCGCAAGUUCCAAUCUCACUUUCUCAUUCUCUCGAUCUCAAUCCGUUCGUGUUUUUCCCGUUUUGCUCCGCGGGUCCGCUCUCCACCUUGUGUGGGACCGAGAGCGCACGCAUCACCCUGUAUCUGCUCCCAUUUUGAACGUUUUUUGUUUUUAAAAAUGUGAUCUUUAAUUGAGAUUCGAGAAUCAGAUGUUGUAAACUCUAGCAGAUGAAGACGACGAAGAAAUGGUUGUUUUAGACGAAUUGGGCGUCAACAAGGACAGAUACAAGUCCCUGGCCGACGAGAUGGACUCCACCUUUGCCGAGUUGGCCGGAUACUAAGCAUCGACCUAUUUAUAUACGUACAUAUGUAUUGAUUUAGAACUUUUCCUCAACGAGUCCCGCACGCGCCCCUCGAGAAAAGAAAAACAGGAAACGCACCACAACCAGCUCGAUGCGAACGAAAGAGAAAGAGAGAGAGCAAGAAGAAGAAUUAAACGUCACGAACUCCAAAGAUUCGAUUGUUUGAAGAAGAAGAAGAAGUGGUAGAAGAAGAAGAAACAAAACUUAGCUUAAAAUUCAUGUUUUAUUAGUAGGAAUUGUAUUAGGACCUAAUUUGUGAAAUCAUUUGAUUAGUGAGUAAGAAGAAGAUCAUCAUUCUGUUUUUACUAGAAGAAGAAAACGAUUCGUAUUGUUGUUGUUGCAGUCAAGAGAACACAGUUCAUGAUCAAAAGCAUCGAGAAGCGCUCUCAAAGCGCUAUUUAUUAUAGGUUAUAUUAUAACAAAAACAAAGCACUAGCCCUAUCGUUGGAAGAUUUUUAAGAAAAUAAUAACAACUGACAUAGUCAAAGAACGGACACAAACUUACGCAGUUUAAGAUUAAAACAAAUGUGUUGGUGUUGAAAUUCGCGUGUAACCCAGAACGCAAUCGUCGUUGGAAAGGAAAAUCAAGAACAACCAAGAAAAAAUGUAUUAUUACUAUCUUUUAAUAAAAAAAAGUCUUACACUACUGUUACAACAAAAGCCCAGCCAAAAGUCGAUGGAAAUCUCUGUGCUCCGGAUUCGGCUCGCGUGCAGGUGUUUUGCAUGCGACGCUCGAGUUGAUACUCUUUAGAGGGGAAGAAAAAACACUCUCUUUUUUUUUCUACUUUUCUAGAAGAAAUUGAAUGGAAACCUAUUUAUUGUAAUGCUAAGUUUUGAUUUAUUUUGUAUAAUAAAAGUCAAAUUAAUUCU